ensembl:snRNA U6 U6 spliceosomal RNA
GUACUUUGGCAGCACAUGUACGAAAAUUGGGAUUACACAAAGAAGAUCAAUUUUCCCCUGAGCAAGGAUGACAACAAAUUUUUGAAACAUUCCAUAUACGUUU